GUCGGCGGGCGCGCGCCAUUGGCCCGUCCGGCAUUAUUAAAUAAACCUCCGAACGGAGUGGCGCUCGAACGUCGCGCCGCGGGCACAGCACCGCAUCGCGGCGGGCCCGCGCACCCGCGCAGCGCUCGCGGCCUGCCGCCGCCCGCACGCCAUGGCCGACAUGCCGGACCUGUCGCACCUCACGCCCGAGGAGCGCGCCAUCAUCGAGGGCGUCAUGAUGCGCCAGCGGCAGGAGGAGCAGCGAGAGCACGAGAUCAUGAGGCGUAAACAAGACGAAGUGGCCGUGCUGGAGCAGACCAUCCGCACGAGGAACGAGAUGCAACGCGCGGCCGGCGUGGAGCUGGCCGCCACCUGCCACAUCUGCCUCAAGACCAAGUUCGCCGACGGCGUGGGCCACUCCUGCCACUACUGCCGCGUCAGGUGUUGCGCCCGUUGUGGCGGGAAAGUUACCUUACGCUCUAAUAAGGUAAUUUGGGUAUGUAUAUUAUGUCGCAAAAAACAAGAACUGCUAUCUAAAACCGGACAAUGGAUACACAAAAGCGCCGGACAAGAUGCCAUGUUAUGGCGCAUGGAAUCGGAUCUACACGGACUAGUGUCGCCCGCUGAUUCCACCAUAGACAAGAGACCAAAACUAGAAAGAGCGCACAGCGCCGCGGAGAAAGAGAACCUGCCCCUUCAGCGGUCGGGGAGUGCAUUGAGGCGGCAGUACAGUCAGCAGGAGCCGCGCUGCUACGGGGAGCUGGAGGGGCUGGCGCGCACGCACCCGCACCUGGUGCACCCGCGGCAGAAGGCGGCGUACGGCGUGGAGGAGCCGCCGUCCGUGUCGCAGCUCGCGCCGCACUCGCUCGGGCACCCGCUGCCGCCGCGCUCCUCCUCCUCCGACGACGAGGCCCCCGAGUGCAUCUCUGAUGAGAACGACGAGUAUCGCGAUCGUGGACAACUAGAGGCGUGCGCGACGCUACGGCACCCACACCUGCGCAGCGCCAGCGUUGUAGCGAACAAUUAUUACAAUUUGACUAAUCAUGCUGCAAGCACAUACGAAGCGGAGGCGCGCGGUAUGUUCGAGGCACGGCCCUCGCCCGCCGGUGGACGCAGCUUCGACUCCGUGACGGAUUGCCGCUGGCGCGCCCGCGACGACGGCGAGGGCGCCUACCUGCGUCCGCUCGCGCUCGGCGAGGGCCCGCGCCCAGACCGAGCCGUUUAUAAGAGUGCCUAUCUGUGGGAGGACUCCUCUGACAACAGACGUUUUACCGAAAGGAGAAAAAAAACAGUCCGCUUCGACGGUCACGAGGGCGCUGCGACAUUCCCGAGGGGCGGUCGCGACGCGUCAGGCGCACCCCACGACUGGGCCUCGCUGCGCUGGGAGUCUGAGCGCCAGACCAGCCAGGACUCCGCCACUAAAGACUCGGGCAUCGAUACCUCUAGCACCUUCACCUCCAGCGAAGACUCGAACAGGGGCGACUGCCCUAAGUUCCCGCUGAGCUGGCAGGUGUCGGCCGACGGGUCGCGCAUGGUGGGCCACAUGGUGUUGCGCAAGAGCGUGGUAGAGGGCAGCGGGCACUCGUCCGCGGCCAUCUUGGGCCUGAAGGUGGUAGGGGGCAAGCUGCUCUCGGACGGCACGCGCGGCGCCAUCGUCGAGAAAGUGAAGAAGGGCUCCAUCGCGGACUUGGAGGGCCAACUAAAGACAGGAGACGAGGUGCUGCAAUGGAACGGCGUGCCGCUGCAGAAUCGCAGCGCGGAGGAGGUGGCGGCCGUGGUGGCGGACAGCAAGCACGACUCGCACGUGGAGCUGCUCGUGGCGCGCCCGCUGCCCGCCGCGCGCCCUCCCGCGCCGCAGUGGAGGACACACAAAGCGAGAUUGUUGUACCGUGCAGAAGUGUACACGGAGGUGAUGGGCGGGUGCGAGAACCCCAGCGUGCUGGUGACGUCGCCCGGCUCGCCCGACGUGCACGCGCGCCGCCGCCCGCGUCACCACCAUAGCGCGCACGUCGCCGGCCGGAUACAGUUGAAAGUAUACUUCGACAUCAGCGCACUGCAGCUGGUGUUAACAAUAGUGUCGGCCAGCGGACUGUGCCCUCGGGCGGACGGGACCACGCGCUGCCCUUACGCGAAGAUCUUCCUGCUCCCGGACAAGAGCGAGAAGAGCAAGCGUCGGACCAAAACUCUCGCCAACACUCUGGAACCGAGGUGGAACCAGACCUUCGUUUACUGCGGUAUACGCAUCACCGAUAUAAAGAAACGGAUAUUGGAGAUAACGGUUUGGGAUCUGAACCGAUACGGUCCCAACGAUUUCCUCGGCGAAGCACUCCUAGACUUGGACACGGUCGUGAUGAACAACGAACCCUGCUGGUACCCUUUGAAGCCACAUGAAGAAAACUCGAGUUUUAGCCGAUACCGCGAAGAGGAAGCGGACGGCGAGCACCUGUCGCCGCCGUCGACGUCCACGUCGCGCCUGUCGGACUCCGACACGCCCAGCGAGUGCGACCUGCGCCGCCACCACUCUCUGUCCAGCCUCGCCUCCAGCUCCAGCCCUCCCCCACCACACGAGCGCAUGGAGACGGACGGCGCGCGCUGCAGCCGUCGCGACAUGUCGCCCGCCGGUCGCGUCCGCGCUGCUGGCAUGACCAGAGACAGGAGCGGCGGCUACAGCACGGGGCGGUCGCAGUCGGCGGCGGCGGGCGCGCGGCCGGCGCGCGCGCGCAGCAAAUCGCCGCGGCGCUCGCUGUCACCGCCGGCCGACCGCGACGGCGCGUGGCGCUACACAGGUGGCCCAGGUGUCCCAGUGUGCGAGGAGCGCGAGGCGUCGCGGCUGCCCACGCACGCGUACGCGCCGCGGUUCCAGUCGCGCUCCGCCACCGCCACGCCCACCACCAGCCCCAAGAAACGACAGCUGCCUCAAAUACCCCACCAGAGUGCACAACGAGCGGUCCGCGCGCAGGUGUCGGCGGACCUCGAGGAACGUAAGUGGAUCGCCCCGCACCACAUUGGCGCCACACUCACCUACCGAAGCACGCCACAAGGUUGGGAGCGACACUACGCGGGGCUGUCAGACUCCGAGCUGGCGGCGCGCGGCGGCGGCUGGCCGCGGCGCCGCCUGUCGCCCGACGCCACCGCCGCCGACUCCGACCUCGAGUCCGUCGCCUCCGUCACCUCCAGCGCCUUCAGCACGCAGUCCGAGCGACCCCGUCCUACGCGCAUGCUCAGUAAUGACUACGGAGGGCGCGAGAACGGGCGCAGCGGCACCCAGACGCAGCCGUUAGAGAGAAGAGAGUCGCGUAGAGGCCAAUUCACGCGAAGCCUCAGCAACGCAGACGUACCGCCAGAUGAAAAAGCAGAUUUCCACUAUAACGUAAAACUUUGCGAAGACGGCAGCCUGAGCGACACGGCGCUGGGCGGCGCCAGCGAAAUGGAGCCCAGUAGUGACGACGUGCUGUUGAAAGCGGAGCCCCGAGACUACUUCGGUCCCGGCAUGGGCAAGAAGAGCAACUCCACUUCGCAGCUUUCGGCCACAGAUGGUCACCCGGCAUGCGAGGGUCGGGCUCGUCGGACGGCGGGGGGCUGUCGGACUUCAUCGACGGCCUAGGGCCCGGACAGCUAGUCGGACGCCAGUUGCUCGGGGCGCCUACGUUGGGUGACGUCCAACUUUCCAUGUGCUACCAAAAAGGCUUCCUUGAGGUGGAGGUGAUUCGCGCCCGUGGUCUCCAAGCCCGGCAGGGCUGCCGCACUCUUCCAGCGCCUUACGUGAAGGUCUACCUCGUCAGCGGCAAGCGCUGCAUCGCCAAGGCGAAGACCAGCACCGCCCGCCGAACCC
rnacentral:misc_RNA from 1 species